AGUCGAGCGGUAACAGGUGUAGCAAUACAUGCUGACGAGCGGCGAACGGGUGAGUAAUGCUUUGGAAUCUUCCCAGUAGUGGGGAAUAACCAGUCGAAAGAUUGGCUAAUACCGCAUACGUCUGUAAAGGGAAAGCGGGGGCUCGUAAGACCUCGCGCUAUUGGAUGAGCCAAAGUCGGAUUAGCUAGUUGGUGGGGUAAUGGCCUACCAAGGCGACAAUCCGUAGCUGGUCUGAGAGGACGACCAGCCACACCGGAACUGAGACACGGUCCGGACUCCUACGGGAGGCAGCAGUGGGGAAUAUUGGACAAUGGGGAAACCCUGAUCCAGCGACGCCGCGUGUGUGAAGAAGGCCUGCGGGUUGUAAAGCACUUUUAGUGGGGACAAAAAGCUACGGAUUAAUACUCUGUGGUCUUGAUUUAACCCAAAGAAAAAGCACCGGCUAACUCUGUGCCAGCAGCCGCGGUAAUACAGAGGGUGCGAGCGUUAAUCGGAAUUACUGGGCGUAAAGCGCGCGUAGACGGUUUUGUAAGUCAGAUGUGAAAUCCCUGGGCUCAACCUGGGAACUGCAUUUGAGACUGCAUGGCUAGAGUAUCGAAGAGGGAAGUGGAAUUUCCGGUGUAGCGGUGAAAUGCGUAGAUAUCGGAAGGAACACCAGUGGCGAAAGCGACUUCCUGGUCGAAUACUGACGUUCAUGUGCGAAAGCGUG
rnacentral:rRNA from 1 species